ensembl:lncRNA
CACCUCUCAAAUAGUUUGGUCCAUUUUUGGCCUAUUCUAUUGGCCUGCAUCUUAUUCCUUUUCUAUGUGAGUAGAUUUUUCUUAUGUUUGAGAUUUUUACUUUGAGCUAGUAUUUUUGAUAUGCAGAAAGGAUAGAAUGUUAAACCUCAAACAACAGAUUCUUUGAACAUUUUCGUAAAGGUUUGAAAUUUUUUAAAUAUAACCAUUCCAAUGUCUCCAUUUUAUAUAAGUUGGCACUGGUCAACCUUUAUACUGUUUCUCAGACUGAACUUAAAUAUUUACUAAGUAUAGUUAUUUGUAUAAUAUUUGUGUUCUGUUACAUACCAUGAUACCUAUUAGUCUUGUUUUAUCGCUAGCACUAAGUGCAGUGCCUGGCACACAGUAAGUGUUGAAGAAAUGGUUGUUAAAUAACUAAAGGAGGAAGAGAAAACUUCUCUUUGGGAAGCAGAACUGAAACUAAAAUACACUGAGCGGUUACUCAGUGCCAGGUACUGUUAGGCGCAUUAUAAAAGUUAUAAGGAAAUUCUGGACAUAAAGGUUAAUUUUUGUUCUGCAAAGGAAACUUUGACUUAAGCUAAAGAUAAGUAACUUGUUCUAGGAAAUGAUAAAUCUUGAUUCCAGACCUGUGUCAUGCAUCAAACAUUUAAUAAACACUUAUCUUGUAUUGCACUGGGGAUUGAAUUUAUCAAAGCCUAUCAUUAGCAAUUGCUGCUUUGUAAUUACAUCAACUCCUUCAGCUACUGUCCCUCUGUAAUAGUCAGCUGGGAGUCUCAACUUGUUUUAAACACAGCUAUCUUGCUACUCUGUGCUUGCAUAUAGGAACUGAAUGGGGCUGGAGAAAAACCUAUAACCAGUGCUAAUUUCAUUUUCAGUUUAUUACCACAAAUGUCAAACAGCCACUUCCUACUUCAAAUGUUCAACACCAACCUUCACUUACUACUGGAUCUUUUCAUUAGCAUAUUAACAUUCUCGUUGUCUUCUCUUUUUAAUAAAUAAAGCUUCCUUAGUGGCUCAGCAGUGGAGAAUCUCCCUGUAAUGCAGGAGACCCAGGGAUAGAACCCGCAUUUCCUGCAGCUUCUGCAUUGCAGGUGGAUUCUUUACCACUAAGCCAUGGGGGAUGCCCCAAUUUAGCAUCCAAAUAAUUCUAAUUAAAUAAAUUGAACACUCAUUUCCUCAGUAGCACCA